AUGUCUUCAGGCUUCAAUAAAAAGUACAGCGUCAUAAAAGACCUCCUCCUUCUCCCUUUGCUGGCGUCUAGAGAUAAUAAGAAAAGUCUAAGACCAGGUGCCUACUUAACUGUGAAAAAAAUAUUUGUUGGUGGCAUUAAAGAAGACACUGAAAAACAUCACCUAAGAGAUUAUUUUGAACAGUAUGGAAAAAUUGAAGUGAUAGAAAUCAUGACUGACAGAGGCAGUGGCAAGAAAAGGGGCUUUGCCUUUGUAACCUUUGAUGACCGUGACUCCCAGGAUAAGAUUGUCAUUCAGAAAUACCAUACUGUGAAUGACCAAAACUGUGAGUUAGGAAAGCCCUUUCAAAGCAAGAGAUGGCGAGUGCUUCAUCCAGCCAAAGAGGUUGAAGUGGUUCUGGAAAAUUUGGUGGUGGUCGUGGAGGUGGUUUAUGUGGGAAUGACAACUUUGGUCGUAGAGAAAACUUUAGUGGUGGUGGUGGCUUUGGUGGCAGCUGUGGUGGUGGUGGAUAUGGUGGCAGUGGGGAUGGCUAUAAUGGAUUUGGUAAUGAUGGUGGUUAUAGAGGAGGUGGCCCUGGUUAGCCCCCAUGGUGGUGGCAGCCAAUACUUUGCCAAACCACGAAAACAAGGUGGCUAUGGUGGUUCCAGUAGCAGCAGUAGCUAUGGCAGUGGCAGAAGAUUUUAAUUAGGAAACAAAGCUUAGCAGGAGAGGAGAGCCAGAGAAGUGACAGGGAAGCUACAGGUUACAACAGAUUUGUGAACUCAGCCAAGCACAGUGGUGGCAGGGCCUAGCUGCUACAAAGAAGACAUGAUUUAGACAAAUACUAAUAUGUGUGGGCAAAAAACUCGAGGACUGCAUUUGUGACUAAUUGUAUGACAGGUUAUUUUAGUUUCUAUUCUGUGGAAAGUGUAAAGCAUUCCAACAUAGGGUUGUAAUAUAGAUUUUUUUCUUUUUUUUUUUGCACCCAUGCUGUUUAUUGCUAAAUGUAAUAGUCUGAUUGUGACGUUGAAUAAAUGCCU